UUGCCAGACUCCUACGGGAGGCAGCAGUGGGGGAUAUUGCACAAUGGGGGGAACCCUGAUGCAGCGACGCCGCGUGGGUGAAGGAGUAUUUCGGUAUGUAAAGCCCUAUCGGCAGGGAAGAAGCAAGACGGUACCUGACUAAGAAGCCCCGGCUAACUACGUGCCAGCAGCCGCGGUAAUACGUAGGGGGCGAGCGUUAUCCGGAAUUACUGGGUGUAAAGGGAGCGUAGACGGCGAAGUAAGCCUGAAGUGGAAGCCCGCGGCCCAACCGCGGAACUGCUUUGGGAACUGUUUAGCUGGAGUAUGGGAGGGGUAAGCGGAAUUCCUGGUGUAGCGGUGAAAUGCGUAGAUAUCAGGAGGAACACCGGUGGCGAAGGCGGCUUACUGGACCAUGACUGACGUUGAGGCUCGAAAGCGUGGGGAGCGAACAGGAUUAGAUACCCCGGUAGG
rnacentral:rRNA from 1 species